UCAAAGACAUCUUUUACUUGAAAUUGAUUAAUCAACAUACAUAAAAAUCAAAUGUUUAUACAACACAACCCCAAAUCAAAAUCAAUAAAACGAAACGGACUGAAAUGAAUUAAAACAACUCAAGAAAAUGAUAAGUGAGAAAGAACACAUGAAGAGUAACUUAAGAGUCCAUACUAACUUUAACUGCAUCAGCAAGCUCUUCAACACCCUUAAGCAUUAAAGCCCGAGCUUCAACUCCAAAUUAAUCUAAUAUCCUUGGCCGCAUAGUUUCUGCUCAAACUCAAUCUACUGUCAAUCUUUAUGCAUAUACAGUUAAAAAAUCACAUUCAGAACAUUAAUUAAAUAAAUUGUUGAAAAAACUAUUGUACACAAAAUUAGUUAUAAAUACCUACACAAUAUAUACAAAUGGGUAUAUUAAAAAUAAUGUACUACAUGAUAAAUAAAAUUAUCAAAUAGAAUUAAUAAGUAAAAUUCAUAAAAAAUUGUUAAUCGAUAUAGAUACUAAUAUAUCCUUGACUGAAUGUGUUGUCCCUAAUGAAUUAUAUGAGAAAAUCAUUCAAAAUCUGAACCAAUUAAUUCUAAUUCUUAAUUCAACUAUGUCAAACUGUAUUUAUCAUUCUAUUCGAAGAGUAAACUAAAUUUCAAGAACUAUAACAAAUUUCUCUAAUUCGUACAUACACACAUAUAAACAUGCAUGUUUAAAUUCAUAAGUAUCAGCUUUAUAUUUCCACAAUGCAUCAGUAAUUGACUAUAAGUAUAAUCCAACUAAUCAGUGACAAUAUUCUCAAAAAGAAACUUGUUGUUCUCAAUAAGGUCCAAUUUGGUAUGCAAGAAUCUUAUAUGGGGAAUGGGUUUACAGCUCUAAACCUGUAAAAGCUAUAUGCACAUGAUAGAAGGCAAUUAUUUUGUUUUGCCUUUGAAAAUUUGACAAUUUAUUGCCACAACUAAUAUUUACAAAUUUAACAAAAAUAAAAAGAAUUACAAAAUUGUCAUGCUACAAAUAUAUCUCUAAUUUUGGAACACAAGUAGUGUAGCGCUAAAUGAAGUGUUCUUCUGUCCAUUUCGAAUUCUAAACAGUGCCUUGGAUAUAAAGCAAUUUCCUUUCAUAGCACUUCCUUAUAUGAGUACAUUUCAUAGGAUUCUUCCAGUUCUGCACUUAAAUUUAAUCAAGUUGCUAGCACAUAUAGAAGAUGAACACUGUUGGCCUUGUUCAGUAAACAAGGUAACAAAUUAGUUAGCUAGAAAAAAAACGUUUGUGGUAAGAUAACCAAACAAAGUAUUCUCAAAAUGCUUCAUUAUGUUGGAUUCAUACUAUUUUGAAAAAGAAAAAAAACAGAGUAUGGAUUCAUCUACUACAAUUUGAAUGAGGGACAGUAUAAUGGGGAAGCUGACACUUGGUUGAUUGGAAUUACUGCUUUAGAACUGGCUUAUGGAGGAAUACGUAUUCGAAAUCGACAAUAGUUGGAAGAUAUGAUUGGGGAUAUUCUUAAGAAAAGCAAGUAUGGAAAAAAUAAUAAUUUGGUUACUAAAUGUGUGAUGUUGCCUCCCAAUUUGAAGAAUAUUAAGAAGUAUUUUGGUUCAAGUGUAACGGUUAAUGGGAAAUUAAUGUCGCAAGCUUUUGUGGAUUUGGUGACUGCAUGUUUGAAUGAAGACCAUGAAAAGAUGUCAGAUGUUGCUGAGCUGAUACAAAAUGAUUUCUUCAAGAACGGUAAAGAUUUGUACUAUUUUCAGAAUGGUGCGAGGAAGGCACUAUUAUAAUAGUGCAAAUUCACAAUUAUGUGGCGUUAUUUCAAAUACUUACAGUGCACCAAGUCAAGCAAAGUAAAUAAAAGUUAUAGCACCCAGUAUUAAUAAAAUGUUUCAUCAAAUUCAAAAUAAAGAAACUAUAAUCGCCAAGACUUGCGUUACCUGAUUCUUGUGUGUGUUGAUUUGGUCCCACAACUGCAAUUGAAAUAGAAGAAGAGAGAAUUUGUAGACAGAGAAACAUGAACAGAUAUAUCACAGUCAUUGAAGUUAAGAAUAACAUAAACACUUUUACUACUAAGAUUAAAUGAACAUUAAUUAGAGUUGCUGUUCAACAAAACAAAUAAAAAAUCCAACCAAAAUCAUUAUAAACUUGUUGGUAAUUCUCAAACAACGAUAUAUCCAACAAAGAGUUGUAAAAAAAAAUCCUCAAAACCUGUAUCCCAAUACCAUGUUCGUGCACAGUUGGAGACUUCUAACAAUCUCGACUCAAACUCCAUCUAAUCCAGUCAUUUGAGCUUUCGAGUCACCGGACAAUCGCACCGAUGGAUGGAAUCCUAAUUCCCAAAUUAAAUAUUUACAAUAAAUAAAGCAAAACCAAUACUUUUGCCUAUACUCAAUAGUAUACAGAUAUAAAUAGGUUCACCUGGAUUUUGGCUCCACAGAUUAGUUUAACGGCGUCGGUCUGAAAUUGAAACCUAGUUUCAUCCUCUAUGAACCCCAUCUCUAAUCAGUCGCUUUAAUCUUCUCCUCCUAUUCUGUAAAUCCCAUCCAAUCCUCUCUUGAUUUCAUCGACGGGUGCACUGGAAGGAAGGAGAAAACCCGGGUGUCUCCGAAACUACAAUCCCAUCAAGGUUUAACAAAAAUAACAAAACCCCAAUUAAGAAAAAAUUGGACCAAAAGUAUAAAGCUAAAUCAUGGGCCAACACAGUCGUCACCGAAGCCUUAUCCGACUGUAUCCACAAAAAGCAAUAGCUUCAAGCCCUUGAGGUAUAGUUAGUUCUUGGAGUAUUAUUAUAUGAAUGCUUUGAAUUUUCAGGAGCUAACGGAAAGGAUCAGUCAAAAUAACCCUAAUUUGUGAAAUAAGAAGUGACAAAAUAUGUAUGGAGAUAAGUAUGAAUGGAAGGGACGAAUCGGAAAAGGAGAAAGGAGAGGAGUGGAAAAUCUAGAUUUUGCAGCCGAAAAAGGAAAAAUGAGAGGAGUGGAAAAUCUAGAUUUUGCAGGGAGAAGAAUGAGGAGGAGAAGGAGAAAAAGGAUUGGGUUAAUUGAGAAGAUGGAAGAGUGGGGAGGCCAGGGAAGGAGAAGGGAAAGAAACAGAAAGUGGAUGAAGAAAGAAAAAGAAGAAGAGGAAGAGACGCCGUCUGUUUUGUGGAUUGAAUGAUAGAAAUGGUUCGAAACUCGGGUGAGUUCUCCAAUUUACCGAGUUAAGUUUUAAUUAAUUAAAGAUUAACUCAGUGAGUUUUCUAAUUUAAAAGAUCGCUUUUGCUGCCUUUAUAUAUAAGGAUUGAUUCCACAGGGUUCUUUUGGUUUUAG
rnacentral:lncRNA from 1 species